CCUAAGGACUUACUCAAGUCCCCAUAUAUAUAUAUAAUAUAUUAGG
rfam:Tupaia chinensis contig19434, whole genome shotgun sequence.